UUUUUAGAUAAACUUUUCAAAUUCUUUAGUGUUUCCAAUGCUACAUUAUAUUUUUCACUAAUCCAUUCAGAUUCAUGUUUUCAAAAUUCUAAUCCUCCUUUUUCCACCUCCCUCCUCUUCAUCUUCCUUCUUCCCUCUUCCGUAUUUUCUUCUUCUUUUUUGUUUUUCUUCCUUAUUCCUUUUUUUCAUUUUUUAGAUAGAUUCAAGAUGACGCCUCUUUGUUUAUUUGACGGAUCUAUAUCUGCGACGAUGCCUCUUUGUCAAGAGAAACCAACCGAGAUUGCGUCCAUAGGUUUGCUUUAACCAAUUAAAUGCAAAAAUCCAUAGAUCAGUUCUUAAAUCAAUGUCGAUCUUCUUGGGUAAGGAAACCCUAACCUAAUCUGCUUUCAACCCUUUUCUGGGUUUUGAUUUUGUAGUUAGGGUUUUGAUUUUGUAGUUAGGGGUUUUAUAGUCCAAGACUCAGAAGGAGUGUUAGCCUAAAAGUUCGAUUUAUGGCUGAGAUAAUUAUGGUUUUAUCAAACUUAUUUUAAGGUUAUAUGUAUACUAUUUGCUUAUGCAUAUGAAAUGUGGUUAUAAUUUAAGAAUUGUUGGUUGCUAAUUAUUACUUAUUACAUCCCUGUUGGUUUCAAGCUUACGUGAAUUUGAGCUUUUUUACUAUCCAAACUGAACAUACCAGCUUUGUUUUUGUUAUAAAAGUAAUUAUAUAUGGUUAUUGAUAUUUUGUGGUUGAUUUGAUAAUUUUGAGGUUUAUUUUUCAGGAUUUAGACAUGAUCGAGUUUUACCGCUGACUUUUGAAUCUAACAAGAGGAUUAAGUGAAAGAAAGAGCAAAAAGAGAUGCAGCAGCUUCUAGCAAUGGAGGGAAUACUCAUGGAAAGAUAUUUAAGGAUAUGAUAAAAGAAAUGAGAAUGGAUCUAAAGAAAUCAAGAUACAAACCUUUGAUGAAUUAUAUCUCUACUCUUACUAUGUUGCUGGAACUGUUGGUUUAAUGAGUGUACCAGUCAUGGGAAUCUCAAUGCAUUCGCAAGCCACAACUAAGAGUGUAUACAAUGCUGCCUUGCCCUUAGGAAUUGUAAAUCAGCUAACCAACAUACCCAGAGAUGUCGGAGAGGAUUAACUUAUUCACUUAAGAUCAUCCAAGAUGGACUGUGUUUGACAUCGAAAAUAACUCUGUAGAUGAUUGUUUUGACAUUGAAAUGGCAGCUGGAAAGUCUCACAGUUUCAUGAUGUCGGAGUCUCUAAAGCCUUCACCGGCUAAGAAGCCUUGCAAAUAUCGAAGCAGGGAAAAUAUCAGGAAGAUCCUAUUCCAGUGAAGUUAUGGAACAAGAAAUUUGGAAAGAUUUUCCUGAAGAUUUAUUUGACACGGAAUUCAAAUGGGUCAACUUUGAUAUAAACAUGUUUGCUGAAGUUGCUGAAGGUUUUGAAGAUUUUGAAGUCAUUGUUUUACAGAUUUGAGAAAGAUUUUUGUUAAAAUUCUAUAAAUUUAAUGCAAAUUAAUUUAUUUUAUUGGUUGUUAACUCAGUAUCGUGAAUACCAAUUAAUUUAAUUCAAUGGUAGUUAAUGGAAAUUGAUUUAGCUUUAUUUCCUAUUUGCCUCACUAUGUUAUUGUUAUGCUGAUAGAUAUUCUUUACUCUAAUAUAGUUUUAGCAAAGAAACUUGAAUUAUUUAUAUAUUUUUGUAGUUCUAUGAAGAUGGGAGAAACAUGGUUUAUGCCUUAAUUAUUUAUAGUAAGAAUUUAUCAUCAUAAUUUGUCAUUAAUACUUAGAAAUAUUUACAUGUUUUUCUUAUGUUUAUAAAGAAGAUGUAGAGUUUGUCUUAAUUUAUUUGAAAUAAAAUUGAAGUUAUUAAAUUUAUUUUUAAUGCCAAAACUUAGUGAGUCAAAAAUAUUAAGAGGAACUUAUUUUAAUUGAAAUUAUAAUUAAUUUAAUUUUAUUUAAGAUGACUUAUAUAAUUUUUUAAAAUUUAAGAUAACUUAUUAAUAUAAGUUAAUUUUUUUAAUGAAGCCAAAAAAUAUUGUUUAAAAAUUGAUACACAAAAAAAUAAGGACUAAUCCAUGAGUAAAUUAAUUGUCGA